UGCCGGACUUUUGUGCAGCCUACGGCUGCUCUAAUCACCGCAGUCUGCAAACAAGAACCCGUGGGAUCACCUUUCACGUGUUUCCCAAAACCGAAGAGAGGAGGAGGCAGUGGGAACUCGCCCUAAGAAGGGACGGUUUUGUUUCCUGUGACAGGACAGUAACAGUUUGACCCGUUGUUGGGCCAAGCUGUUUUGUGCAUAUCAUUUUACUUACUUGCAGUUACAAAUAAACCGCUGGUAACACAUACCAAUUCUACUCUGGUCGUGUCGUUUCCCUUUGUACCCCUCGCCAAGAGGGAACGCAACAACAUGUGUUACGUGCCGUAGUGGGUGCUUGUGUGUCUCCCUCUCUUUCCCCCUGAUGUUUCUUCUUCUUCUUUGUUUAAUGGCGAAUCGCUACCACUAGGAGCAUAUAUCGCCACCUACUAUGUAUUUAUUAAAUCUUCAUGUUCCAUGAGACGCAGCACUAUGUUCCCCACAUAUGUUUAUGUUUGCUCAGUCUAAUAAACCCAUAACAUGGUUGUGAAAGAAUA